GGGUUAUCAUUUGGAGGAUUCUCGACGUUACCACAGAAGCAGAAAUAAGUUUUAGGGAUUUGAGAUUUCGCAUACACUGAUCUGCAUUUGGGACAGUUCCAGGUGGAGGUUUCCGCCGCUCUGUCAGGGGAGAUGGGCAGGCGCGUGGCGGCACGGUAGGCGGAGAGAUCAGAGGCCUGGCGGGCCCAGGAUUGAAUGCAGAGGAGGUGAAAAACAGCGUAACAGAGGGAAGUGCAGGACCAAGUGGGAUCCGAGGGCUUGAUCCGCUCGAGGCAUAUAAGGCAUGAUAGUGCGCCGGAGGAGGAAGAGUUGAGAAAAGAUUGGAUUUUGGAGAGGUCGUGAGGAGUUGGUGGUGAGUUGGAGGAUUGUGAUUGGUUGGUGGUGUGCUCGAAGUAGGAUUUGAAAAUGGAGUUUGAGAAGUCUGUGUGGCGAUGGCGGUUGCCGUGGUGUGAUUCGGUGUGGGAUUGAUCAGGAUCGGAAUCGCAAUCGGAAUCCGAUAAAGGCUGUUGGCAAUUGGCAGAGGACAUUUUUGGGAAUU
rnacentral:misc_RNA from 1 species